UGAGGGUGGACUGACAGUCGGGUGAACGUAAGACGGUCCCAACAAGAACAAGAAGCCUCUCUUCGGCCAUUCAUGCACAUUCUCUCUCCUACGCCUCCUAUUCCGUUCUUCCCUCUCCCCAAUUGUUUCCUAAUUGUCGCGCCUGGCUAUUGUAAUUCCGUGUUCGACAAAAUGGCUAUUGGUGUGGAAGUAUUACACGUCCGUACUUCGACAAGGGUUCGGCGUGAUUGAUCCUGCGAUCAGUCAGGUUAGUUGAUUCUUGUUCUUCAAGUAUUGUUAACGUGAUGCCGACACGGGUUCUUUCUUUGCUUUCGACCGAAGGUCUGUUUUGGCCUUCUCAUUCUCUCUUUGCUAUCAAUCGAAGUUUUGUUUCGCUUGCGAUUUUAGAGCUUCCAUACUUCUCACGACGGUUCAUACUUCAGUCCAGACUCGGCUUCCUUCAUCAAUCAGGGUAGGUUUGACUAAUCUUGGGAUCUAGGGCUCCUUUCAAACUCUUAUCUCACAUCUUCCUGGAAUUGUGCGUGAAUAUUGGAAAUUUAUCUCCACAGUGAAGGUCGAUGACAGUGAUACUAAGCUUCAACAACUAAAGGACAAUCUGAGAGUUAUAACUUAGGUUAAGAGGUUAUUGUUAAAAUAAUUAAAUAGCAAAGGUUAUUCAACCUUGCUGAUCGAAAUCUGAUUACGAUAUUUCUUAUGAUAUUGUUCAACCCUGUCUACUGAUCACAAUAGAUAUCUAAUUGGAAAUGACAAACACUGCUGGAGUGAUAAUGGUGUCUCAAAUAUUGAAGGGGGAUGCAUUGAUCUCUCGAGGGAAAAAGAGUAAUCUGGAAUGCCAUAAAGUUUGGAUGGAGAGGCUAUAGUGUUUAGUUUGAUAUUGUACUGUACGGUAAAUUUUGUUUUGGCAUGUCAAUAUACAUAUAUUAUAUAUAUGAGUAUGAUAUAGAUUGACUGUGGUUGGCAGUGUUGGAGAAUGUGGUGUUCGAUUAGCAUACGCGAGAAGUUAAUUAUGUUGAUAGAUCCGUCGCAGGUAAAUUAUGAGUUGAACUAACUGAAUUUACUUUUAUUUAGUCUGGAGAAUUGCUUCUAAGUAUACUUGGUCUAGAUUUCUUUCCUUUUAUGCUUCAUUAUCAAAAAUUGCAAAUUUUCAUUUUAAGCUUUGAAUGCCUUUGAUCAUUGAUAUUGAAGAAGGUGAAGGGAUUGGGCAUGUCUCAAUGCUAAUUGUUGGAAGACACUAGGUUGACCCUUCAUAUAGAGUAGGACUGUAGGAGACAGAAAAGGGUAGAAGAAUGGUUGCUUCUUUGUUGCUCUUGAUUCUUUUGCACUACUGAAUACUGAUAUGCAUUUAUUAAUGAAGUGACUACUAUUGGAUAUCAAAAUAGAUUUAUGGUUUUUCUUGAACUGAAAACUAUUAUUGUACUGAAACAUGUAAAACUAUUAGUAAUUGAGGGUAAUUGGACUUGACUCGGUGAUGUCAGACCAGUGUGAAGUUAUGUUAUUCUGUUUCAUAUUCAGAAAUUACUACCAUUGCAUUGCACUGUUUAAAAUUUUCAUUUCUUUUUGUAAGAUGCUAUUGUUGCUGGUAUAGAGGGAAAAAUUGCAACAUGGACAGUUCUUCCAAAAGGUUUGCCAUAAAUUAAAUGAGUCAGCAUCAUAUUCAGGUUCCUUAAUUUACUGCAUACAAAUUUCAAGCACAAGUACACUUGAAACAAUUUUUUAUGCAUUUUGGUCCAAGAAUCAUAUACUGAAUUCUGGAAUAGGAAAAUGUAAAUAUAAGUUGUUUAUUUUCGUGGUAAUUCAUGUUUAUUUAUUGAGAUAUAAUGAACUAUCAUCGCGUUGGGUGUCUUUGUUUUAUUUUCUCAAAGUGGAUUGAUUUCGAUAUGGUGUGGGGUACUGGGUAUGAGACUCAAAAUAUAUUGAUUUUUUCUUUCAAUAGUAUGUAACAUAUACAAUGAAUCAAUGAUAGUUCUAUACCUGUUAGUUUAUUUCAUAACCUGUGUUUAAUUCAAAUGGUGUUAUUAUAUAAUUCCAAAAUCUUACAAACACUUGACCAGUGCAUAUGCUUGGCACUUAUGCUGAGCAGUUCAGUGUUAGAGCAGGGAUUAGAAUUUGUUGUUUUCUUAAUUUAAUUUACAUCUUCUUUUAUUUUGUUUAGUUCCACGUAAAUUUGAUGAGCAGGGAUUAGGAUUUGCUGUGUUCGUGGGUUUAGAUGGAGAGGAUAUCGAAGAUUAAGAAGCACUAACAGAGAGGGACAAUAUCAAACAAAGGGGAGUGGGGGGGGGGGGGGGGGGGGGGUGUGCCCGGUGUUAUGGUCAGAAACAAUAGUGAAAGCCAAGGAGAUGUCUAGGAUGAAGUUUUUGGAAAGUGAAGCAAAUACUUCCAUCAAGUGAGAUUCUUCUUACGCCGCGGAACCAUAAAAUCUUCACAUUACCAGAGCUAAAUAGUGCAACCAAGAAUUUUAGACCAGACACGGUGCUUGACGAAGGUGGAUUUGGGAGGUCUCCAGGGGUUGGUUGACAAGAAGACCUAUGCAUCUUCAAGGGCUUGUGUUGGUAUGGUUGUCGCUGUUAAGAAGUCAAACCCUGAUAGCUUCAAGGCGUAGAGGUCUUUUUUUCCUCCUUUCUUUUGUUAUUUUGUUCAAUUCAUUUAAGAAGUCCACGAUUUUUUUAAUCUUAAAAUUAAAAUCCACAAUUAUUAUUCAUCUAA